rnacentral:rRNA from 1 species
GUGAAAAAGAACCUGAAACCGUGUACGUACAAGCAGUGGGAGCCUCUUUAUGGGGUGACUGCGUACCUUUUGUAUAAUGGGUCAGCGACUUAUAUUCUGUAGCAAGGUUAACCGAAUAGGGGAGCCGAAGGGAAACCGAGUCUUAACUGGGCGUUAAGUUGCAGGGUAUAGACCCGAAACCCGGUGAUCUAGCCAUGGGCAGGUUGAAGGUUGGGUAACACUAACUGGAGGACCGAACCGACUAAUGUUGAAAAAUUAGCGGAUGACUUGUGGCUGGGGGUGAAAGGCCAAUCAAACCGGGAGAUAGCUGGUUCUCCCCGAAAGCUAUUUAGGUAGCGCCUCGUGAAUUCAUCUCCGGGGGUAGAGCACUGUUUCGGCAAGGGGGUCAUCCCGACUUACCAACCCGAUGCAAACUGCGAAUACCGGAGAAUGUUAUCACGGGAGACACACGGCGGGUGCUAACGUCCGUCGUGAAGAGGGAAACAACCCAGACCGCCAGCUAAGGUCCCAAAGUCAUGGUUAAGUGGGAAACGAUGUGGGAAGGCCCAGACAGCCAGGAUGUUGGCUUAGAAGCAGCCAUCAUUUAAAGAAAGCGUAAUAGCUCACUGGUCGAGUCGGCCUGCGCGGAAGAUGUAACGGGGCUAAACCAUG